AUUGAACGCUGGCGGCAGGCCUAACACAUGCAAGUCGAACGAGUGGCGGACGGGUGAGUAAUGUCUGGGAAACAGUGCGUUGGAGGGGGAUAACUCUUGGAAACGGUGGCUAAUACAGCAUAUCAUCGGAUGUGUCAGAUGGGAUUAGCUUGUAGGGGGGGUAACGGUUCACCUAGGCGACGAUCCCUCGCUGGUCUGAGAGGAUGACCAGCCACACUGGAACUGAGACACGGUCCAGACUCCUACGGGAGGCAGCAGUGGGGAAUAUUGCACAAUGGGCGCAAGCCUGAUGCAGCCAUGCCGCGUGUAUGAAGAAGGCCUUCGGGUUGUAAAGUACUUUCAGCGGGGAGGCGUUACCCGCAGAAGAAGCACCGGCUAACUCCGUGCCAGCCGCCGCGGUAAUAC
rnacentral:rRNA from 1 species